UUAUCCUCCACCGCGAGAAAACUGCGCGGGUCCAUCGUGCACCAAUCCGUACAGGUAUCGUGAUUCAAAGACUAAGGUUCCUCUGUGCAGCCUCCAAUGCUACAAGGCGGUUCAGGAGCAGCAGCAGCAGCAGCAGCAGACCUCUGAACCAGCAACCGACCCCACCCCACCACCGGAGCAGACCUCUGAACCAGCAACCGACCCCACCCCACCACCGGUUUAGAUAGUGAUUGUUUUUUUUUCUGGAUAUAAAAGGACAAGAACUUAGAGCGUUAUCAUUGUUGCAGUGAGGAGCUUCUUAGCUUCCUCAUUUUAUUACAUGCAGACUACA
rnacentral:lncRNA from 1 species